ensembl:lncRNA
ACAAAACCUGGGAACUACGUUGAAUUUAAAAGCUACAAUAUUUCACAACUUAAGGACAAUUACACCAUACAGUGCAGUCCCCCUCUGGAGACAAUUACUCAGAACUGUUCUAAGAUGGAAAGCUGCAAGAUGGUUGAGUGUCACAUUCCCACAUUAGACAAGUUUGAGUCAGUUGUGUUCACACUGACUGUGAGUGCAGCCUUCAACCUCAAUCCCAAUGUGAGUCCCCAUAUCUGAUUCAUACUUCACAUGGCUGUAAUCACAAAAUAAUGUAAACUCAGAUGAAGGGUGUGACCCAUCAACUGACACUCUCUGGCUCUCUUCAGAAAUAUACAUUCACUGAAAUGAGGUUUAAUAAGGACUACAAAAGUUUUGUGGAAAUCAACUAUAAUCAAUCACGUUACAUACAGACUGGAAACGACCAAACUGUUCCUGGACAAGUUUCAGACUUCCAUCGGACUCAGGGUGUAAGCAGAGCUGAGUUCAUUGUUCCAAUCAACAAACCUCUGAUCAUGGGUUUAGCAGGUGCUGGAGGACUGUUACUGCUCAUCUUUAUUAUUGUAGUUCUGAUCAAGUGUGGAUUUUUCAAGCGUAACACAUUUGGGGAGGAAGGUGAAGGGGACCAGGACUUUGGUAACCCCAGUAAGGAGGAGGAUCCAGAAACCCCGGGGACUGUGGCAACACCGCCUGAGGCCAAGCCUCUUAUGAGCGAAGACUCCAAAGAAAAUGGCUCUUCUCCAGUGAAUGACUACAUUGACAAUCCCGUCUCUGAGAAAACAGAUGCUCAGUGUGAAGAGUAAAGUCACUUAGAGUUCUGG